GACGAACGCUGGCGGCGUGCUUAACACAUGCAAGUCGUACGGAAAGGCCCUUUCGGGGGUACACGAGUGGCGAACGGGUGAGUAACACGUGAGUAACCUGCCCACAACUUUGGGAUAACGCUAGGAAACUGGUGCUAAUACUGGAUAUGUGCUCCUGCUGCAUGGUGGGGGUUGGAAAGCUCCGGCGGUUGUGGAUGGACUCGCGGCCUAUCAGCUUGUUGGUGGGGUAGUGGCCUACCAAGGCGGCGACGGGUAGCCGGCCUGAGAGGGUGACCGGCCACAUUGGGACUGAGAUACGGCCCAGACUCCUACGGGAGGCAGCAGUGGGGAAUAUUGCACAAUGGGCGCAAGCCUGAUGCAGCAACGCCGCGUGCGGGAUGACGGCCUUCGGGUUGUAAACCGCUUUCAGCAGGGACGAAGCUUUUUGUGACGGUACCUGCAGAAGAAGCACCGGCUAACUACGUG
rnacentral:rRNA from 1 species